rnacentral:lncRNA from 1 species
CCAUUUCAAAAGAUAAUAUUUUGAUUAGUGAGUAUUUCUCUUAUUUUCCUCUUUCUUUGUCUUUCUCUCUCAAACUUGAAAUAUAAUUAAUUAAGGGGAAGGAAAGAAAAAAAAAAUAAAAUAAAAGGGUCCGUCGGUGUUGUUUGAUUGACCUUGAAUCUAUCUGGGAAAGAGGUAAAUUGUUGUUUGAUUUUUUGUUAAAGUUCAGUUUGAACUCUUUUUGUUCUUGAAUUUUCUAUUUUUGUUCUAGCUUUUUGCUAUUUUCUUCUUCUUUUUCUCUUUUUAUGUUUACUGGAUCUCUCCGACUUGGAAUCUUUUAGGUCUGGAUCCUGGUUUCUCGUUUGGGUUUACUGUUAGAUGUGGGUUAUAGGAUUAGACCAAGAAUUUUUGUGUUCUUUUUUAGAUCCAAGCUACUUGACCUCUAUGUUAUUACCUGAACAAUUUCUUUUCUAGGAAAGUUGAAAACUUUCCCGGGAGGUACUUACAUUCUGUCAUAAACGGUGAGAUCUGGGUGUUUCACUUGAUUAUCUGUUGGAUGAUAAGAUUCAUUUGAUUUAUAAUCUAGUCAUGGGCUUUAAUAUCAAAAUUGGCUUUAAUAUCAAAAUUGGUUACUUUAAUCUCCUGCUAGUAAAUCUAUUCAUAUCUUUCAAUAGAAAAUAAUUCAAGAUUAAUUUUUUUUAUGAAUUGGGAAUAUAAAAUUUUCUGUUAUGGAAUUGAUGUUUCAUCAAAGUUUUUUAGUGGAAUUAACUUGUCUCAAUCAAAAUUUGCUGAAAUGAUUGAUAUUUGAGAUUUUGUGCAUAAAUAUUCUGUAGUAAAUAAGAAAAUCUGAAAUGGAAUUUCUAUUGAAUUAUUAUACACAGGAAAGCAUUUAGUUUUUUGCUGGGUUUUAGUAUGUAUUAACUUUUGCUGUUCUUAGCAGGCUUAAAAAUACCGACAGAGUAAGAUAGAUAGGGUUUAAAGCCAUUAGAGAUCCCUACAAAUUCAAGAUGAUGAUGUUCGAUGAGAUGGGAUUUCUUGGUGAUAUGGAUUUCUUCUCUGCGCCUUUUGGAGAAGAUGUGGCUGGUCCGGAAACUGAGCCGGAGCCUACUGUGGAGGAUGAUUAUAGUGAUGAGGAGAUUUAUAUUGAUGAGCUUGAGCGCAGGAUGUGGAGGGACAAGAUGCGUCUUAAAUGGCUGAAAGAGCAGAUCAAGAGUAAAGAAGGUAUUGAUAUUGCUAAGCAGAGGCAGUCACAGGAACAAGCUAGGAGGAAGAAGAUGUCAAGGGCUCAAGAUGGGAUCUUAAAAUAUAUGUUGAAGAUGAUGGAAGUUUGUAAAGCUCAAGGCUUUGUUUAUGGGAUUAUUCCUGAGAAAGGAAAGCCAGUGACUGGGGCAUCAGAUAAUCUUCGAGAGUGGUGGAAGGAUAAAGUAAGGUUUGAUCGAAAUGGUCCGGCUGCCAUUGCCAAGUAUCAAGCGGAUAAUUCGAUCCCAGGCAAGAAUGAGGAUUGUAAUUCAAUUGGUCCAACUCCACAUACCUUGCAGGAGCUUCAAGAUACUACUUUGGGUUCGCUUUUGUCAGCUUUGAUGCAGCACUGUGAUCCUCCUCAGAGGCGGUUUCCAUUGGAGAAAGGUGUUCCUCCACCAUGGUGGCCCAAUGGAAAUGAAGAGUGGUGGCCUCAAUUAGGCUUACCUAAGGACCAGGGUCCUCCACCUUAUAAGAAGCCUCAUGACUUGAAAAAGGCAUGGAAGGUUGGGGUUCUUACUGCAGUGAUCAAACAUAUGUCUCCAGACAUUGCCAAAAUUCGCAAGCUUGUGAGACAGUCAAAGUGUUUACAGGACAAAAUGACAGCUAAGGAGAGUGCAACUUGGCUUGCAAUUAUUAACCAAGAGGAGGCAUUGGCCCGAGAGCUUUACCCUGAUUCAUGCCCACCCUUGUCAUCGACUGGAGGGAGUGGUUCAUUAGUGAUUCAUGAUUGCAGUGAAUAUGAUGUUGAAGGGGUUGAAAAUGAGGGAGGUAAAAAUACGUGGAGGGACAAGAUGCGUCUUAAAAGGCUGAAAGAGCAGAACAAGAGAAAAGAAGGUAUUGAGAUUGCUAAGCAGAGGCAGUCACAGGAAGAAGCUAGGAGGAAGAAGAUGUCAAGGGCUCAAGAUGGGAUCUUCUUUUUACUUAGUAAAUUAUAGAGGAGAAUUUUAUUAGCAAUUGAAAGAAGAGUAACCAGAAAAUGGAAAUUGCAUCUUUUUUUUCGUGGCAUUUUAUCAUUGCAUUGUUGAAUAUUUUCUCCAGUCACAGAGUUCCCUUUCCAUGGAGUUUAAAAGAUUGGCUUACUGUAGAUACUAUAGAUCUUUAUUUAUGUCUAGGUAAAAUACAUCUGUGACUCUAAAUUAUGUCAUAAUUAACACUUUUGUCCCUCUACUGAUUAGAGAAAUGAAAAUGUUAAUCAGGGCAUAAUUAAGGACCCACAUGUAUUCUACCCUAGUUCAAUGAUUAAAAGGUUAUUGUAGUCUUUUUAUUUUCAAUUGCUGGUGAAAGUUCACUUUUUUGGAAGGAAUAACUUAUCAAUUAGAAAGACUAUUAGGGUGAAAUUUAAAAUAUAUGCAAGGAAAUAUGCUUAACCAAAAAAAAAAAAAAAUUAUAUAUAUAUAUAUAUAUAUAUAUAUAUAUAUAUAUAUAUGAAAAGAGAUGAAGGUCAAAUUUGUCUUGCCAUAUUUUAUUUUAUAUACCAAAUGCUGAAAAAUAAUUUUCUUUAAAAAAGUACUUUUUGAGAAGUAUACUUCGGGAUAAAUAAUAAUUUUUCUUUAUUUUAUUUUUAGAUAAUGUUAAAGAUGAAAAACGAACUUUGAGGAGUGUCUUGAUGUGGUCAUUUGGGGAAACGCACUGGAGAGUUGAUGACGGGCUAAAGUGGGCCUGAAACCGGACCAGGUUCAGUUGGCUGUUUCCAACUAUGAAAUAGACAAUAAUAGCCUCAAGACAAGGCUUACUGUUUACGUGCUUUGGUAACAUGCACAUGUUUGGUUUUCUACAGAACAAAUCCCUUUUUCAGAAAAAUUAAUUAUUUUAUUCAUUAAUUAUUUUACUGGCUGUUAAUUAUUUCAGUUGGUUGUUUUGUCAAACCUUAUAAGCAAUAACAUCUAAAAAUUAUUAUCUCAGUUUUAUGAUAUUUGUUAUAUUGGAGAAAUAAUUUAUUCUAAAAUAUUUGUUAUAUUUGUGAUUUUAAGAGUAAUAAAUUUUUUUUUUUUUCAUGUCUACCAUUUGUAUAGGUCUAACUAUCAUAACUUCAAUUUAAUAAUUUUUUUUAAAAAAAAUUAGUAUUUAACGUCUGAUUUAUCAAUAAACAGAUUUUGUUGGUAGUUACCUACAAAUUAGAAAUUUUUAUUGAUAAAAUUUAUUUUUAAAAUUAAAAAAGAUCAUAUAAUUUUAACGAUCGAUUAUCGACAGAAUAGAUUACCAACAGAGUUUACCAAUAAAUUUAAAUUUUAUUGGCAAAAAGUGUGUUAUAAAUUUGCGCGUAGGUUGAUAAUUUAUUAACAAAUUACAAAUAGAUUUUUAUAAAAAUUUUAAAUUUCAAGAGUCAUAAAUGGGCGGGUAAAUGAUGAAAUUUGGCAACACUAAAAUAUAUAAAUUUAUUUAUGAACUUUUUCGAAAAAAAAAAAAAGUGUGGAUAUAAAUUUCAGGUGUCAUAAAUUGCUCCAAAUAAGGCAAGUCACUAAUUCUAACAGACUUGAUGACAUCUGCCUAACAAAGUAGGAUAUUUAUCGUUUGAUUAUUUAAGCAACUAACGGAAGUCAGUUGUUUUAGCAGACUUGCCUUAGUUGGAACUACUAAAGGUUACGGAGAAGGUCAUAGUUUCAACUGAGACAAGUAAAAACACGUUAUUAAAGAAAACGGCGUCAUUUCUUUCUAGUAAUUCCAACUCAUGUCCCUCUUCACUUCCUACGUUUAGCUCAUAAAUGUCAUUACUUGAUUUCCAAUUUGAAUUUAAGCUCAACUCAUUUACGAUUAGCGAGCCAAGUUCCAUUUUUAAAUGAAUCAAACUCGAAAUCAAGUAUAUCAUAAUCGAAUGGAGCUUAAAUUCAUCAAAACUCGACUUUUCGAUCAGUUCAGCUUGAUUUGACUUAUUUACAACCCUAUCUAAUCUCAUUCUGUUUCGAGGACUAUGAUAUAUAUCAUGCUCCUCUUCCUUUAUCAACGUGCUAGUCCAAACCAAGUUUGCUUCGUACUACUAAGAACUUAUGGAGAAUAACAAUUACUCAUAAAUAAAUAUUGCACUUAAAUAAACAAAUGCUAAAGCAUUUCUCAUUCUUUAUAAAUAGGUAAGACUUAAAGAACGAUUGUAUUAACAAUUUUACAUUUUUUUUUUUGUAUAAAUGACAAAACAAAAUUUUGAUAGAAAAAUUUAAAAGAUAUUAUUUUUCUUAGGAAUUUAGUAAUUUUUUUAACUUGAUAUAAUUAUUGGGUAUAUUUAAAAAAUAUAUAUAUAUUAUUUAAGGCCACAAAAAGGAGGUUAAACUAAUUUUGGUUUAAGGCAAUGAAAUAUCAAUUAAUUUUGGUUCGAUUUCGAACUAAACCAAGCUGCAAGAACCAAAAAUCGAAAAUACAUUUUACUUGAAAUCGAACCGAACCAAAAUGGUCAAUCCGGUUUGAUAGGUAUGAAUUCAGUUAAACGAUUUGGUUUUACACAUUAAAUAAACGUUUGGUAUAACCAAUCCAAAUACAGAAAAUUGAAAUUAUGAAAAAAUUUUAAACAUAAGCCUAGACCAAAAACUGAAUAAUUGAACUAAAAAUAAAAAAUAAUUUGGUUCGAUUCGAGUUUUGAUUUUUCCUAAAAUCUGCUCACCCCAGUCAAUUAGAUUCCUAACCCAUCACCAGAUGUCCAUUUUAAUUUCGUGCGUAGUGCUUGGCUUACGCUGGCAGCUGUACAAUUGACCAAAUACAAUUUAUCUUGAAACUUUUAAGGAUUAUUUUAUUUUAAUUUCAUGCAAUUGGUAAUUAGUUUUGCCGCAAUGAAAUGCUGCACGUGCUUAAAAAAAAAAAAGUAAAAAAGGUCUUUGACUUGAUAAACACAAAGCAUUUGAUGUCACAUCCCCAAGUCCGUGGAUAAUACAGUUACUAUUAAACCCACGAAAUGUUCCACAAAUAAAAUAUAAAUUGGAAAACCAAGUUAAUAUUUUAGUAGAUAUCCCUAAUAAUUUUUAUAUUUUUUAACUAUUUAACAAGUGUUGAAUUGAUUUAAUUUUAUCAAUUAAAAUAUUCGUUGCAUUAAGUUGAAAUAUUUAUUAAGUGUAAUUUGUUAAAUUAAAGUGCUUAAUAAAAUAAAAUUUAAAAGUGUUACAGGAGAUUUUAUAAAAAAUGCAUAUAUAAAUUUAUUAUUUCGCUCUAAAAAUAUAAAAAUAAAUUAGAUAUAUUAUUAUUGAAAAUAUUUUAUCGGAAUAUCAUUUUUAAUCUGAUCGUAAAAUUACGUUUGUGAAAUAAAAACCACAUUUAUAGCAAAUUAAGUUGAAUUAUACUGAUUUGACAAAAAUAUUUUUCAAUACAAUCAUAAAUAUUAUUAAUUUUAUAGUGUUCAUUUUUAUUUUAGAAAAAAAAAAAAAACAUUGAGGUUUCUCUAGUUGAUGAAAUAUCCAUCUACGGAUAGUUCCACCUCUAAAUAUGGCAUGGGUACCUAAAAAUUUAAGAUUUUUAUAAUUUCUCACCCUUUUUAUUUAUAUUUAAUUGAUUUAUGCAAAUCAAAUCACCAAAAUUCUUACAUGAUAUGAUCUUUUUGAAUUAAAAUGUGUCAUAACUUACAAAAUAAUAUAUAUAUAUAAACAACUUAUAAAAUAUAUAAGGCUUGUUUUGGCAAUACUAGCUCUUUUAGUAAGAAUUUAUUCGGCAAUAUUAGUUAUUUUAUAAGCUCUUUAAACUAGUAGUUGUUUAUAUAAUAAUUUAAAUUAAAAAUGCUCGAUAAAAAUAAUUGUUUUGUUUAAAAAAUUAGGAUUACAAUUAUUAAAAAAAUUAUCUGAAUACCACUUUCAUUCUGAAUAUAUAUAUAAAUAAACCACAAAAAUUAGUGUUUAUGGGAGAAUUAAUUACAAUUAUAGAUUUUUCAUUAUUUGUACAGAAAAACCUAACACAUCCAAAUCUUUCUUAAUCACUUUUGAUUUGCAAUAUCAUCAUCUUUUUCGUCUUCUUUUUCUAGUUUCACCUUCAUUGUCUUAUUGCUUCCUCGAUAGGUGCCACUCGAACUUUCUUUUACCUUAUUAGCUUAACUAUUUCUGCUUUAAUAAAAUUCAAAAUAAAAAAAAUUAAAUUCCAAAAAAUAUUAAAAAGUUCUAGAAGUAUAUAAUAAUUUUUUAAAAAUAUAUUCCAUUUCUUCAAACGAAUAAUAAACACUAUAAAAAGAAUAAAACCUAUUCGAGUUGGUGGGAUUUGAAUCCUAUAAAAGCAAACCACAUGCAUAAAUGUUGACACGAUAGCUCGCGGUAUAAACAUGAAAAGAAAAAAAAAUUCUGUAAAAAGAAUAAAAUAAUAAUAAUAAUAAUAAAUUAAAUUUAAAGCUAUGCUCAAAAGAGAGAUUAAUAAAUUUAGAAAAAUAUAUAUUUAUUGAAAAAAUAAAAAUAAAAAAGAAGAAUUAUCAAUAAGAAUAAAAUAAAAUAAAAGGCUAGUAGUAGAUAUCAUAUAAAUUUUUUCAAAUUAAUUGAAAAAUAGACUGAUAUAGUAUUAGGUCUAAUUUAAGUAGUCUUUAUACCCAUUUAGGCAAUAAAAAUAUAUAUGUUAAAUCAUUAAUAUCUUAUUGGUAUUUUUUUAAAUUCCAGUGGUAAAAAUCAAGUCUGAAAUUUCCUUAUUUACUCAUUAAAAAAUAAGAAAAAGUUCAAAUUUUCAUUCUAAAUUUCUUCAAUCAACGAAAGUCCUGAAAUGGAAUUCACUUUUUAAGUAAGGGAUUUUUUAAGAUUUUUCAUUUACUUUAUAUUAUUUAAUUUCAAAUAUUUAUAAAUUUUAGUAUUAAUUACAAAAGAUUUUCACAGACAUUGUAAUGUAGUUGGAAAUUUUGAUGUUUGAACGCUUUUGCCAAAUAGCGAUAUAAAUAUUUACUCCCUCUAUCUCAAAAAAUUUAUCAUGUUUACUCUUACACGAAGUUUAAGAAACAAAAUAAUUACAGUGUAACAUAUUCCUUUAUCUCAAAAUAUAAUUCGUUUAAGGUUUUUGUAUAAGAAUUAAGGAAGUAAUUAAUUCUUCUUGAUUAUAAUAAAAUUAAAAGUAAAUUGAUUAAAUAAUCGUUUAUAUUAAAACUAAUAGGUACUUGUGAAAGUUUUUGUUGUAUCUAAUGUAAACAACGGUAACAUUAGAAAAAUAUUAUUUAUUUACUCAUUGAAAUAUUCAAAAUGACUUAUAUUUUAAAAUAAAAUAAUUAUACAAAAACGACUUAUAUAUUGGGACAGAGGGAACAUAAAAUAUUUGUGCUUCCAAAAUUGUGAUUCUUUUAAACAAAAUGGUUAUUUCUAAAAAUUUGCACCAAAAUCAGUUAUAAAAAAAAAACAUAAAAGGAAAUAUCAAUAUCUCCUCGAUUAAUUGGACAAACAUUUUGAGACAUUUAAAAAUCAAAAUAUGGAUUAAAAUUUUUUGGUACGGAAUGAGCAUUAUAUUUUGUCAUUGUUGAUUAUAAAUUAAAUUAACAGAAAGGGAUGAUACGUUUAGAAAAAAAUUAUUUAUAAAAAUUGAAUUUUUAAGAAAACUGAUCAGAAGUCAUUAAAAAUUGUUUAAAGACUAAUAAUAUUUAACCUAUAAAAUAAUUUAGAUUUUCGUAUUUAUUUUUUUUUCUAAAAUUUUCAAUUGUUAAUAUAAGAAACAAAACCUUAAAAAUAAACAUUUUGAUGAAACAACAACUGUAACUCUUAUCUGUAAGAAGGGAAGCAAUAGAAAGAAAAUCUAGAGAAAAUCAGGUGCAAAUCAAUGAAAGUAAAUGCAUUCCCACUAACAAGGGAUAAGUUUUGGUGAAACGUCAGGUGUAUAUCAGAGGACACACACGCAACAACACGGAGCCCCUUCAAGCCCUCCCUCGCAGCACGUACACUUUCACUUUCACUUUCUUUGUCUUAAAUAAUCUCCUCUUCUCUCUCUCUCUCUCUCUCUCUCUCCAAACGGACAUAACUAUGGUUCAAUUGAAUUAACCUCAUCAAACCUCACCUCUUCUCUCCCUCUCUCCCUCUCUCUCCUUCCUCAUGCUUUCUUAUAUUUUUUUUGGCUAAUCUUGUUACUUUAAUCCCACCGCCCACUCCACACAGUCACCAAUAAUACUACUCUGUUCUGCAUCAUCCCUCAAGUUCCCAUUUCAAAAGAUAAUAUUUUGAUUAGUGGUUAUUUCUCUUAUUUUCCUCUUUCUUUGUCUUUCUCUCUUAAACUUGAAAUAUAAUUAAUUAAGGGGAAGGAAAGAAAAAGAAAAGAAAAUUAAAGGGUCUGUCGGUGUUGUUUGAUUGACCUUGAAUCUAUCUGGGAAAGAGGUAAAUUGUUGUUUGAUUUUUUUUUUUUUUUUAAAGUUCAGUUUGAACUCUUUUUGUUCUUGAAUUUUCUAUUUUUGUUAUAACUUUUUGCUAUUUUCUUCUUCUUUUUCUCUUUUUACGUUUACUGGAUCUCUCCGACUUGGAAUCUUUUGGGUCUGGAUUCUGGUUUCUCGUUUGGGUUUACUGUUAGAUGUGGGUUUUAGGAUUAGACCAAGAAUUUUUGUGUUCUUUUUUAGAUCCAAGCUACUUGACCUGUAUGUUAUUGCAUGAACAAUUUUUUUUCUAGGAAAGUUGAAAACUUUCCCGAGAGGUCCUUACCUUCUGUCAUAAACGGUGAGAUCUGGGUGUUUCACUUGAUUAUAUGUUGGAUGAUAAGAUUCAUUUGAUUUAUGAUCUAGUCUUGGGCUUUAAUAUCAAAAUUGGUUACUUUAAUCUGCUGCCAGUAAAUCUAUUUAUAUCUUUCAAUAGAAAAUAAUUCAAGAUUAAUUUUUUUUAUGAAUUGGGAAUAUAAAAUUUUCUGUUGUGGAAUUGAUGUUUCAUCAAAGUUUUUUAGUGGAAUUAAUUUGUCUCGAUCAAAAUUUGCUGAAAUGAUUGAUAUUUGAGAUUUUGUGCAUAAAUAUUCUGUAGCAAAUAAGAAAAUCUGAAAUGGAACUUCUAUUGAAUUGUUGAAUUAUGAUACACAGGAAAGCAUUUAGAUUUUUGCUGGGUUUUAGUAUGUAUUAACUUUUGCUGUUCUUAGCAGGCUUGAAAAUACCGACAGAGUAAGAUAGAUAGGGUUUAAAGCCAAACUAUGGUUCAAUUGAAUUAACCUCAUCAAACCUCACCUCUUCUCUCCCUCUCUCCCUCUCUCUCCUUCCUCAUGCUUUCUUAUAUUUUUUUUGGCUAAUCUUGUUACUUUAAUCCCACCGCCCACUCCACACAGUCACCAAUAAUACUACU